rnacentral:rRNA from 1 species
CCCUUAGAUGUUCUGGGCCGCACACGCGCUACACUGAAGGAGGCAGCGUGUACUCCUGGAUCGAAAGAUUUGGGUAACCCGCGAAUCUCCUUCGUGCUAGGGAUUGAGGUUUGCAAUUAUACUUCAUGAACGAGGAAUUCCCAGUAAGUGCAAGUCAUAAGCUUGCGCUGACUACGUCCCUGCCCUUUGUACACACCGCCCGUCGCUACUACCGAUUGAAUGAUUUAGUGAGGACUUCGGACUGGGACCGAUGCGGCUUUCGGGCUGCGUCGGUAUUCUGGAAAGAUGUCCAAACUGUAUCAUUUAGAGGAAGUAAAAGUCGUAACA